UUUUUUUUUUUUUUUUUUUAAUAUAUGGUUAGACUUUUUAGCUCUACUACUGUUCAUUAUGUGGUUACUAGUUAUUGUCAAAUGGUUUCAAUAUUCAACAUUCUUAAAAACUGUGUCUAUAAGACAUAUCAGGCUUGUCUAGAUUUUGUUUUAUUUGUUCUAUACACAUUUAUUAAAGACAACUCAUGCCAAUACAUAUUCCUAGAGAGCCAUACAUUUCAGUCAUUGAUGAUUGGGGCAGACUUUGGUUUGUGUCCAUGUUCUACAAAUAAAACUGAAUAUUUACAUGUGGAAAACAAAAAUUCCAAUUAUUUUUGAGAUAGUGUUUAUAUUUACAAGGUAAACAUAUACAACUGAGAAGAGUGACUGAAUGAUAUGGAAGAAGACUGAAGAGCCAUUGUGUGGUAAAACUAUUGGAUUUGAUGUCUGCAUAGAAAUAAGAAGGAGAUAAAUAGAAAAAAAAAUGGAGGUGUUGAAUAUGUGCAUCUGGCAAAAGAAGGCAGUCAAAAAAAAAUGCCACAGGAGAGGAGAAGGUCAUGGGGAAGGAUUAACAGAGAAGAUGCUAAACUGGUUUUGGGGUCAGAUCUGCGGCAGCCUUUUAGAGAAAUCUGGGUUUAGGGAUUAGAUUGUAGGAAUUCUUGCAUAUAGAAUCUUCCAAGGAAGCAGAAAGAGUGAGAAGCCCCAGAGACUUGAAAGGAUACUUGAAUCCACACCAGGAUGCUCUUAAAGAAAACUGAGGAGGAAUGGCGGGACAGAUAAACUAGGAUACGAGAAGUGAGAAUUUACAGAGAUUUUCAAAGAAAAUUGAGUAGUUAAUAUAUUCUGAGCUCAAUGAAUUAACACUCAAUUUAGAAUAAAACCGACCUUGAUAAUCGAUUCUCUAGGGUGGUCCAAUAAUAUCACAAAAUUAAUGCUAGAGGGAGGUUAAAUAGAAUGUAGGUUAAAACCAAAACAGAACAGGCUACCAAACUGAGUGUCGAAGUCAGAUCUGAAUAGGAUGGAACUCACAGAGAAGUUGAAAAAAGUCCAAGGCUGCACAUAGAGCCUCUUCCUUUAGAGGCUGAAGUACAAGGGAACCAAAAGGCCCAAAGCUCUGGAGGGUGGGGAGGUCUGAGCGUUGGGCAAAAUCGUAAGACAUUUCCUAAUGAAAUUGCACUUUCAUACAACCCCUUUCCUUAAGAUCUCGGGUUUUCUCCUGCCAAUAGAAUAUGGCGGGUGACAUCACUCUGGAAUUAUGUAAUGGUAUAUGACCCCCUGGUAGCUGACUGGAGAGGGACAUUCUCUUGCUGGCUUGAAAGAAGGAAGCGGUUAUGUUGGGUGGAGGCCCAUGGAAGCCCAUGUGCAGGGGAAGUAACAGACUGCUGCAGCCUCUAGGACCAGAAGGCAAUCUUUAGCUGACAUCAGCUAAAAAGCAGUGGCCUCCGUCCUCCAACUUUAAGAAACUAAAUGCUGCCAACAUCCAUGUGCCCUUCACAAAGGAUGUAGAGUUUGAGAAAGAAACAAUGUCCCAUGACACUUUCACUGCCGCCUUGUGAUUGCUCAGCAGAGGAACCAACCAAGCUAUAUCUGGGCUCCUGACCCAUGGAAAUUGUGACAUAAUGAAUGUCUCAUAUUUUAAGCCACUACAUUUGUGAUACAUUUUCAUAGAACUGUAUAAAAAUAGCCCAGUCUGGAAAGGAAUCUUGCAGGCAAUUUUCUUCUUUCUUUCUUUUUUUUUUUUUUUUUUUUUUUUCCGCCUUGGGUAAAGCAGAGCUAAGUGACUCAACAAGAAAAUGCAUCUGAGCCUGGAUUCAAAGUCCUAGCUCUGACAAGUUUUAGUGUGGUGAGCAUUACUUAAGUUCUCUGUAUUUCAAUGACUUUAUCAGUCAAAGAAGGUAUCAGCUAUCUCGUACAACUACUGUGAAAGGCAAGUGAGUUAAUUCAGGUUAAAUGCUUGAUACAUAGUAAGGAUGCAAAAAAAAAUGUUAGUUAUGCUUAUAAAUGUUUGGUUUGGGAGUGGUUUUUGUUUUGUUUUUCUUUAAGGAGAAAUAAUUGAGCUAAUUUGGAGAAUGAGGAGGAGCACAUGAAAACUAAUGAUUUGUGAGAAAGAAAUCAUGAAGGAAUAUAACCCUGAAAGAAAUGUGAUCCAGAGAACAUGCAAAGUAAAAAAUGAGGUAAAUAAACGUAAGUAUAAAAAAAAACAAAAACAGAAACAAAAAAA
rnacentral:lncRNA from 1 species